rnacentral:rRNA from 1 species
AACGCGUAUCCAACCUGCCCACCUACGUUGGGGAUAACCUUGCGAAAGUAAGACUAAUACCCAAUGAUAUCCCACGAAGGCAUCCGAAUGGGGAUUAAAAGAUUUAUCGGUGAUGGAUGGGGGAUGCGUCUGAUUAGCUUGUUGGCGGGGUAACGGCCCACCAAGGCAACGAUCAGUAGGGGUUCUGAGAGGAAGGUCCCCCACAUUGGAACUGAGACACGGUCCAAACUCCUACGGGAGGCAGCAGUGAGGAAUAUUGGUCAAUGGGCGGAAGCCUGAACCAGCCAAGUAGCGUGCAGGACGACGGCCCUAUGGGUUGUAAACUGCUUUUAUGCGGGGAUAAAGUGGGCCACGCGUGGCCUUUUGCAGGUACCGCAUGAAUAAGGACCGGCUAAUUCCGUG